CUGUGGGCAUUUCAUUGUGUUUUCGUGUGGGCAUUGUGUUGGAGCUUUCAUUGGGUUAGGUGUGGCAUUGGGUUAGUGUGAGCAUUGGGUUGUGUGUGAGCAUUGGGUUAGUGUGGCAUUGGGUUAUGUGGACAUUGGUUCGUGUGGGCAUUGGGUUAGUGUGGGCAUUUCAUUGGGUUAGUGUGAGCAUUGGGUUAGUGUGAGCAUUGGGUUAGUGUGAGCAUUGGGUUAGUGUGAGCAUUGGGUUAGUGUGAGCAUUCAUUGGGAGUGUGGAGCUUGGGUUUCUUAGGUUGUGGAUUUCAUUGGGUUAGUGUGAGCAUUGGGUUAUGUGAGCAUUGGGUUUAGUGUGAGCAUUGGUUAGUGGAGCAUUGGGUUAUGUGGGAUUCAUUGGGUUAGUGUGGGCAUUGGGUUAGUGUGGAGUCAUUGGUUUAGUGUGGCAUGGGUUAGGGGGAGCAUUGGGUUAGUUGUGGGCAUUGGGUUAGUGUGAGCAUUGGUUAGUGUGGGCAUUCAUUGGGAGUUUGGGCAUUGGUUGUGUGCUGGCAUUUCCUUGGGUUAGUGUGGGCAUUGGGUUAGUGUGGGCAUUUCAUUGGGUUAGUGUGGCAUUGGGUUAGUGUGCAUCAUUGGGUAUGUUGCAUUGGUU
rnacentral:lncRNA from 1 species